rnacentral:RNase_P_RNA from 1 species
GCGAUGACAGAUGAUCGCUGGCGAGUCGUUAGACUUGCUGGAGGAAAGUCCGAACACCAGACGGCAGCAUGCCGCGUAGAACACGCGGGCAGCGUUCGCCCAAGCGGGCGCUGACGGAAAGUGUCGCAGAAAAGACACCGCCGGUUCUUUGGCAACAAGGCGCAGGUAAGGGUGAAAUGGCGAGGUAAGAGCUCACCGCGCGCGGAGCAAUUCGCGCGGCAGGAAAAACCCCAUGCGGUGCAAGACAGAACAGAGGGAGGGCAGCCGGUCCGUUGAUCCUCGGGUUUCGUCGCAUCACGCUUUCGCUUCAGCGGGAGCGGGCGGCUCACGCGAGUGGGCUGAGAUAAAUGAUCAUCCGCUCGAGCAAUCGGGCGACAGAAUUCGGCUUAUCGUCAUCACAAAU